rnacentral:rRNA from 1 species
UGGCAGGUCGACGCUCUCUUCGGAGGGAGUGGCGCACGGGUGAGUAACACGUGGGAACCUACCCUGAGGUGCGGAAUAACCGUUGGAAACGACGGCUAAUACCGCAUAUCCCCUGCGGGGGAAAGAUUUAUCGCCUUGGGAUGGGCCCGCGGUCGAUUAGCUAGUUGGUGUGGUAAUGGCGCACCAAGGCGACGAUCGAUAGCUGGUCUGAGAGGAUGACCAGCCACACUGGGACUGAGACACGGCCCAGACUCCUACGGGAGGCAGCAGUGGGGAAUAUUGGACAAUGGGCGCAAGCCUGAUCCAGCCAUGCCGCGUGAGUGAUGAAGGCCUUCGGGUUGUAAAGCUCUUUCAGGUGGGACGAUGAUGACGGUACCACCAGAAGAAGCCCCGGCUAACUUCGUGCCAGCAGCCGCGGUAAUACGAAGGGGGCUAGCGUUGUUCGGAUUUACUGGGCGUAAAGCGCGCGUAGGCGGUCCUGCCAGUCAGAGGUGAAAGCCCAGGGCUCAACCCUGGAA